GUAGCGUACCUACUAGCCUACGACGGGUACGGGUUGUGAGAGCAAGAGCCCGGAGAUGGAUUCUGAGACACGAAUCCAGGCCCUACGGGGUGCAGCAGGCGCGAAAACUUUACAAUGCUGGAAACAGCGAUAAGGGGACCUCGAGUGCCAGGUUACAAAUCUGGCUGUCGUGAUGCCUAAAAAGCAUUGCAUAGCAAGGGCCGGGCAAGACCGGUGCCAGCCGCCGCGGUAACACCGGCGGCUCGAGUGGUAACCGUUAUUAUUGGGUCUAAAGGGUCUGUAGCCGGCCGGAUAAGUCUCUUGGGAAAUCUGGCAGCUUAACUGUCAGGCUUUCAGGAGAUACUGUCUGGCUCGAGGCCGGGAGAGGUGAGAGGUACUUCAGGGGUAGGGGUGAAAUCUUGUAAUCCUUGAAGGACCACCAGUGGCGAAGGCGUCUCACCAGAACGGACCUGACGGCAAGGGACGAAAGCUAGGGGCACGAACCGGAUUAGAUACCCGGGUAGUCCUAGCCGUAAACGAUACUCGCUAGGUGUCGGCCACGGUGCGACCGUUGUCGGUGCCGUAGGGAAGCCGUGAAGCGAGCCACCUGGGAAGUACGGCCGCAAGGCUGAGACUUAAAGGAAUUGGCGGGGGAGCACCACAACGGGUGGAGCUUGCGGUUUAAUUGGAUUCAACGCCGGAAAUCUUACCGGGACCGACAGCAAUAUGAAGGCCAGGCUGAAGACUUUGCCGGAUUAGCUGAGAGGUGGUGCAUGGCCGUCGUCAGUUCGUACUGUGAAGCAUCCUGUUAAGUCAGGCAACGAGCGAGACCCACGCCCACAGUUGCCAGCGUACUCUCCGGAGUGACGGGUACACUGUGGGAACCGCCGCUGCUAAAGCGGAGGAAGGAAUGGGCAACGGUAGGUCAGUAUGCCCCGAAUAUCCCGGGCUACACGCGAGCUACAAUGGUUGGUACAAUGGGUAUCUACCCCGAAAGGGGAUGGAAAUCUCCUAAAGCCAAUCUUAGUCCGGAUUGAGGGCUGCAACUCGCCCUCAUGAAGCUGGAAUCCGUAGUAAUCGCGUUUCAACAGAACGCGGUGAAUACGUCCCUGCUCCUUGCACACACCGCCCGUCAAACCACCCGAGUAGGGUCUGAAUGAGAGCGCCUCCAACGGAAGCGUUCGAAUUUGGGCUUUGCAAGGGGGGUUAAGUCGUAACAAGGUA
rnacentral:rRNA from 1 species